rnacentral:misc_RNA from 1 species
GAGUAAAAGUCGUAACAAGGUUUCCGUAGGUGAACCUGCGGAAGGAUCAUUACUGAGUGAGGGCCCUUUGGGUCCAACCUCCCACCCGUGUUUAUUUACCUUGUUGCUUCGGCGGGCCCGCCUUAACUGGCCGCCGGGGGGCUUACGCCCCCGGGCCCGCGCCCGCCGAAGACACCCUCGAACUCUGUCUGAAGAUUGUAGUCUGAGUAAAAAUAUAAAUUAUUUAAAACUUUCAACAACGGAUCUCUUGGUUCCG